rnacentral:tRNA from 1 species
UCCCUGGUGGCUCAGAGGUUAAAGCGUCUGCCUGCAAUGCAGGAGACUUGGGUUCGAUCCCUGGGUUGGGAG